rnacentral:rRNA from 1 species
CACGGGUGAGUAACACGUAUCCAACCUGCCGUCUACUCUUGGCCAGCCUUCUGAAGGAAGAUUAAUCCAGGAUGGCAUCAUGAGUUCACAUGUCCGCAUGAUUAAAGGUAUUUUCCGGUAGACGAUGGGGAUGCGUUCCAUUAGAUAGUAGGCGGGGUAACGGCCCACCUAGUCAACGAUGGAUAGGGGUUCUGAGAGGAAGGUCCCCCACAUUGGAACUGAGACACGGUCCAA